AUUGAAUGCUGGCGGCAGGCCUAACACAUGCAAGUCGAGCGGAUGAGGGAAGCUUGCUUCCCGAUUUAGCGGCGGACGGGUGAGUAAUGCCUAGGAAUCUGCCUAUUAGUGGGGAUAACGUUCCGAAAGGAACGCUAAUACCGCAUACGUCCUACGGGAGAAAGUGGGGGAUCUUCGGACCUCACGCUAAUAGAUGAGCCUAGGUCGGAUUAGCUAGUUGGUGAGGUAACGGCUCACCAAGGCGACGAUCCGUAGCUGGUCUGAGAGGAUGAUCAGCCACACUGGAACUGAGACACGGUCCAGACUCCUACGGGAGGCAGCAGUGGGGAAUAUUGGACAAUGGGCGAAAGCCUGAUCCAGCCAUGCCGCGUGUGUGAAGAAGGUCUUCGGAUUGUAAAGCACUUUAAGUUGGGAGGAAGGGUUGCAAGCUAAUAUCUUGCAGCUUUGACGUUACCAACAGAAUAAGCACCGGCUAACUCUGUGCCAGCCGCCGCCGUAACAC
rnacentral:rRNA from 1 species